rnacentral:misc_RNA from 1 species
UGUAUAUCCCGUAGCUGAAAACACUGCACAUACAUGCAGAGAUUUAACAUGCACUGGAAGAAGUUGAACCAAGGACAAUAUGAAAUAUGCCACAAUUAAAAGAAUUACCAAAAAAAUAGUGCACACCAUCUGCAAUACUUUGGAGCUUGAAAUUCAAUGCAUAAUCUGAGCAUUUAGUUUCUAUUCUUGAAUAAUCCCAUUUUUCAAUUAUUCAACUAAAGUAUCAUAUAUAUAUACAUAUAUGAAUUUGUGAGGAGGUUCCAAAAAACUGUCCAUGUGCACACAUUGGGCUAUGACUUACCUACCUGGAGAAUGCAUUCAAUUAAAUAAAGUCAUGCUAAUUACCAACAUUGUCAAACUGAGACUGGACCGGAUUAACUGGGGACUAUACCUAAGGCCAAUCUGGUUUGGAUAUAACCACUCUUUUAAACAAGAACUGUUCCUCACCAGAAUGAAACAACCAGAGAACUGGUGAACCGAACAGGUCAAGUUCAAGCAGGUA